CCUGCUAUCAAACAGAAGGCUCAUUGUCUACCAGGAGUGGAGUACUUGUACAGUGUGAUGAGUCCUAACCAGCUAGAGAUCCCUGCCUUCAUCACAGAGUAUGACAUGAGUAUCAACGGGAUCCGCUACUACCACCCUGGGCCCACGACCUAGGCACCCUGCCGCAGUUAGGCCACCUACCAACAGUAUUCGCUUGUGUCAACGAUCAGCAAACGUCAGCGUAGAGUCGCUUCGCCUACACUCUGCGCUCGUUCUUCAAUCAUCGUUUGUUUGUUUGUUUACCUGUUGUGUUUGACGACGUUUGUAUAUUAUUGUUAUCAAAUUGUUGAUGCGUGUGCAAGUGCGAGUGUGAAUGUAGUUUCUUCCAAUCUCUUUAUAAGUGGGAAACAAUCGCAUGUCCUGUCUCUGCCCUCGUGUCUUCUUCUGUCUGUAUUCGGAAGGAAGAUAAUUCCUUUUGAGUUGGCGACGACAAGUUACUUAUAUUUAGUAGUUAGGGGAUAUUAUAUAUUAUUGUUUUUUACCCCAGUUAUGAUUAUUACGAAUAUGCCGAAAUAUGGUGCAACUAUAUUUUUAACUCGAUUAAUAUUGUACAGUUUUUUCUAACGUUUAUAUGAUUGUUUACUGACAUUAUAAAUUGAGAAUUGUUUAUAUAAAUUAUGUUUAUUUUUAAUAUAUAGUUUAUGAAGAUCAAUAUUAAUUAAUCAUUUUGACCUUAUAAUAAGACGUUUGAAUAUGACUAGUUUUUAAAACAGUUUACUUACUCAAGAUUAAUCUUGUACCUAUUAAGACUUAUUACUUCACUUCACAGUUCACAGAAGGCUCUCUUAACUUUCAGAGUUUUUCUAGUAAUCCAUUCUACAAGAUUUUCGUUCCUCUUUCUAUGCUUUGUGUUUAUUUCCAAAGAAUAUUUACGUACUUUGUCGUUCAACGACCAAUUUAGUAGACCUGGUUAUUUAUCCCAUCUUCAUUUUAUCAGGAUAAAAUAUUUUAGAUUCUUUUACUCAAAUACAAUAUUUUUUCAAAGGUUCAACAUGAAAUUGACUUGUCAAUAAUCAAGUUAAGGGAGUCUCUGUAUCUAAUCUCUCAAUAAUCUAAACAUGAAAACUGAAAUUAUUGCAUUUAAAACAGACAAUAUUCUGCACCUAUGUAUUUUUUUAUUGCACAUUGCUCUGACUAAUUGUGCAGGUUCAAACCUCAAGGAAGUGAUUAUUUUUUUUGUUUGUUUUAUUGUAAUACUGAAUUUUUAAAGUUAAUAAAUAAAGACUGUAACUCCUUAAAUUUUUCUCAUAGCUUUUGUUAAAAUUAAAUUUUUAAUCUUUUGCUACUUUCAGUGGGAUAUUUUGUUAAAUGAGUUUAGAUGGGAACGUGGUGUUAUCGUGUUGGUAUUCUGCCUUCCUGUCAAUGUCACAGCCACCUCGGCCGGUCUGUAGUUGCUCACUUGAUUUUCGGCCGAUUUUUGUCAGAACUUUGCCCUUUGUUUACCGCACUUUUUAGGGAAAUCGCACUCAAUGUAAGAUGACGAGCCACUUUAGGAUUGAACAGUUUACGAUAUUUACAACUUUGUCUUGUAUGUGCAUUGUCGGUAAAAGAUGGCUCUCCCUUGAGAUUAGUCUAAAAUUUAGCGCUUUGUGUGAUUUAGUAUGUAGGAAUUGACUAAAUCGAAGGCAAUCCAGUCCAAGUCGGUGUAGUGUAAGUAGCAAUAUUAGUUUCAAAAGUAUUUUUGACCAUAGUAAAACAAAACAGGAAAUUAACAAAUGGUAUUAAUAAGGCUGUGUACAAUGUUUUCACAUAAUAGCAAUUUCAGGGCAAAGUUCGCAUUGUUUGUGCCAUUAGCAGAUGAUAUUUUAAGUCUUAGUAUAUAAUGAAUUAGAUUAUUGACACUUUUACCAAAACUUCAAGUUUUUGGAUAAGAAUUUGUAAAUUGCCUCUACUGACAUACAUAGGAGCAGUAUUGUGAAAUCUUUUUUCUAUCAUUGACUUCAUAUAUAGGGUGAUUACCGAGAAACGCAUGUUUUUUAAAUAACGAGUACUCAGGUUAUUCAGAGCUAAAAAUGUAUUUAUAAGUGGAAAAACAGUGUACACAAUAUGCAAUUUCAGAAUAAAAUUACUUGCAAUUUAGCAUUUAAAAAUUACAUCUCUAAGGUGGUGGUUAGAGAACAUUGUUAAUUUUACAGGUCGCAUUCUGCUUGGAUUCAGUGUUGAAGGUGUUCCUAAAAAUUUGCUACGGAUUUUGUUAUCAUAUCUCUAGGAAUGGUGUUGAUUUCCUGGCAAAUAGCUUCUUUAAGUUCCUGUAUUGUUUUUGGUUUGUUUAUGUAAACUCUACAUUUCGAAAAUCCCCAUAGAAAGAAAUCUGGAAUUUUAAGACCUGGUGAGCGCUCGGCCAAGUGACACCACCAAAACGUGAGAUAACUCUUUUAGGGAAUGUUCGGCGAAGGAAUUCCAUUCUAAUGCGAGCCCUAUGGACUGUUGCCCCAUCUUGUUGGAACCAUACGUCAUUACGUAUCUCAACACGUUGAUGGCACAGUUCCGGCAAGAAAUAUUCUUCCAACAUUUCUAGGUACCGUUGUGGAUUCACUGUCACUGCUCUGCCGUCGCGGCUAGGACUCUGAACUGUUGCAAGGCGCACUCUUUCAACUGUCUCAGGGGUACUAACUGUCCUUGCCAGUCUAGGAGGUUUCUUCUUAAGCAGAGAUCCAAUUGAGUUAACAUUAUGUAUCCAACGCAAUAUCGUGUUACGAUCAGGGAUAGCACCAUGCCGUGCAAUGUUAAAAUUCUCCAUUUGCGUAAUAUCGACGCAUGACAAACGUACGAUGUUCAAGGUCCCACAUCUUGGCAAAAAUUGAAACUGCACACUUCCCCCUCCACAGCUAAACAACUUCCGGCCGUAACCGAACGAUAUUCCUUAUGUACUACGAAAGUCAAAAACAUGCGUUUCCCAGUAAUCACCCUGUACUUAAUAUAAAUAGACAUCCUAUUUAUAAGUUGCCCUUUCAAGUCUGUGUUACAGAAACUCUUUAAAUUACACCUGCUUACUCUGUUGGUGGCUCAAUUGAGCUAAUUUUAUGUUUUAUUUUAAAACUUUAACUUGGGAAUGAAGUGUCUACUGCGCAGUAGUGAGUGUUUCAAUAGUUAAAGCUUGCGUUUAACUAAACUACUUAAAGAUAAAGAUUUGAUCUUUUAUUUCAUUUCUUGAACUCAGCUAUGAAAUCUGCAAUCUAAAACAUGUUAAUAAUCUAACUAUAAGGGAGUUUUGGUAAGAGUCUUAAUACAAUUUUAUAAUAAAAUAACAAACACAAUCAAACUUUGUUUUAGUUUUGUUGUGAUAGCCAGACUAGAAUGUUAAUAGAUAAUUUCUGGUUUGUUCUCUUUUAGCCAGCAAGUGAUACAGAUUAGGCUGCCUUAGUCUCUAGUACACCCUUGUUUAUACAUUCCUUUCAACCUUCAAAGCAGAUACUUGUCACUAGAGUAAUGAAAUGUGCGAAACCAGUUGUUGUAUGAAUCUUUAUAAUACAACUCACCUGAAAAUUA